AAGGAUCAUUAACGAGUAAACAGGAGAGUUGUAGCUGGCCGCAAGGCAUGUGCACGCUCUCUACUCAAUCCAACCUUACACCUGUGCACCUAUUGUAGGUCGAGUGGCUGGACUUGUUCUGGUUGCUCUUCCCUAUGUUUUACACAUACACUUGUAGUCUCAGAAUGUAAUCAGCGUAUAACGCAUUAUAAAACA
rnacentral:misc_RNA from 1 species